GCCUCCCAAGUAGCUGGGAUUAUAGGCAUGUGCCAACACGCCCAGCUACUUUUUGUAUUUUUAGUAGCGAUGGGGUUUCAUCAUGUUGGCCAGGCUCGAACUCUUGACCUCAAGCCCACCUCUGCCUCCCUGCCAAAAGGGGUGGGAUUAUAGACAUGAGCUACUAUGCCCAGUCCACUGAUGGAUGACAUUUCUAAUAAG
rnacentral:lncRNA from 10 species